rnacentral:lncRNA from 1 species
AUGUUUCACUCAGUGGUCCCAUCUAAUAAGGUGGUUUUCUCUUCUUUAAAUCUGCCUUUGGGGACUCUGAAAUGUAAGCUGUCGAGUAUGGAUGUGUGCAGGACUGAAGAGAAUCCUAGAAAGGCAACAAAUGCUGAAAUGUCUCUCCCAAAGCUGAGGAAAGAGAAUAACAAAGAAGGAGACUUCCAAAGAAGAUUUACCUCCAGUGUCUGCCUCAAAUCUUGCAUCUCUCCCUGCAUCAUUUCCUUCCACUGGCCUUGAUGCUUCAGACUGUCCUUGACUUCCUGAAACCGAGCUUGCCUGAUUUGAAGACACUAGUUCCCCUGCAAACGCAAUUUCCUGCAAGGUACAGACAGUUCUGUUCUUUCAACAGAUGUGCUGUCACAAGCAUAUGACAUUCUUAUUUUAAGAAAGGCAGAGUGGUAUAAUGCCAAGAACCUGGUGGCUGGUGUCGGGAGACCUGGGUUUGCAUCUUGAUGCUGUUCAUUCUGACUUAAGAUAUUGGGAGAGUCAUCUGAUGCUCUGAGCUCCAGUCUCCUCAUCUGGAAAAUAAAUCAAAUAAUACCUACCUCUUAGGGC